AGGAUGAACGCUGGCGGUGUGCCUAAUACAUGCAAGUCGAACGGGAUCUUCGGAUCUAGUGGCGGACGGGUGAGUAACACGUUGGUACCUACCCCUAAGUGAGGAAUAACUGCCCGAAAGGGUGGCUAAUACCGCAUAAUCCCGCAAGGGUAAAGCAGUAAUGCGCUUAGGGAGGGGCCUGCGUCUGAUUAGCUAGUUGGUAGGGUAAUGGCCUACCAAGGCGACGAUCAGUAGCUGGAUCGAGAGGUUGACCAGCCACACUGGGACUGAGAUACGGCCCAGACUCCUACGGGAGGCAGCAGUAAGGAAUCUUCCACAAUGGACGAAAGUCUGAUGGAGCAACACCGCGUGCAGGAUGACGGUCUUCGGAUUGUAAACUGCUUUUAUAUGGGAAGAUUAUGACGGUACCAUAUGAAUAAGGACCGGCUAACUACGUGCCAGCAGCCGC
rnacentral:rRNA from 1 species